rnacentral:rRNA from 1 species
AGAACGAACGCUGGCGGCAGGCCUAACACAUGCAAGUCGAACGAGCUGAGACCUUCGGGUCUCUAUGCUAGUGGCGCACGGGUGAGUAACGCGUGGGAAUAUGCCCUUUAGUACGGAAUAACCCAGGGAAACUUGGGCUAAUACCGUAUACGCCCUUCGGGGGAAAGAUUUAUCGCUAAAGGAUUAGCCCGCGUCUGAUUAGGUAGUUGGUGAGGUAACGGCUCACCAAGCCGACGAUCAGUAGCUGGUCUGAGAGGAUGAUCAGCCACACUGGGACUGAGACACGGCCCAGACUCCUACGGGAGGCAGCAGUGGGGAAUAUUGGACAAUGGGCGAAAGCCUGAUCCAGCCAUGCCGCGUGAGUGAAGAGGCCUUCGGUUGUAAGCUCUUUCGACGGGGACGAUGAUGACGGUACCCGUAUAAGAAGCCCCGGCUAACUCGCGCCAGCAGCCGC